UGGGUCCAGCUUUAGCUUGCGGCAGCGCUGUGAAAGAGAUGGGCCCGGCAGCCACUGGGGUCAGCCCGGAUCGGGCCGCGCCACUCAGAGCUCGUAGGCUCUCCCUGCCAAUGGAGUAUGACUCCUACUAACAUUUCUCUUUAUAUGCGAUUCAUCGCCACAAUGUUUAGGAAGGCCACAAGCACUAUUUUUAUCAGGGUUUCUCGUCAUAUUCGAAUUUCCUUAUUUCUAAUCAAAGAUUUAUGAUACUACCUUAAUUCUGUCACCUUCAGAAUGUCUGAAUCAAAAUUUCGGGAGGUGUUGCCCAAACACGUUCAUGGUGAAAAUGGGGUACUUCUAACUCUUGAAGACAACGUUCUGCUUCAGAAACAUCUCCUGAAAGAAGAUCUGGCUUUAGAUGUAGGAACCAUUAGGCACAUGCUGCAUCCAAACACACUGCGCCAAUCCUUGACUGGCUGCACCAUUACAAGCUGGAAGACUAUUUCAUGUAACAUCACAAAUACAUUCUGCAUUCUUUCCCUACCACCCAACUCACAGCAAGCAGCAAAGAACUAUUGCUACCUUCUAUUGUUUACUUGUUUUCUUAAAGCUGCAGUAGAAACAGUAAAAUGUAACA